CGGUCCUAAGGUAGCGAAAUUCCUUGUCGGGUAAGUUCCGACCCGCACGAAAGGCGUAACGAUUUGGGCACUGUCUCAACAACCGACUCGGUGAAAUUGUAAUUCCGGUGCAGAUGCCGGAUACCUGCGACAGGACGGAAAGACCCCAUGG
rnacentral:rRNA from 1 species